rnacentral:rRNA from 1 species
GAUGAACGCUGGCGGCGUGCCUAAUACAUGCAAGUCGAGCGAACAGACGAGGAGCUUGCUCCUCUGACGUUAGCGGCGGAAGGGUGAGUAACACGUGGAUAACCUACCUAUAAGUCUGGGAUAACUUCGGGAAACCGGAGCUAAUACCGGAUAAUAUAUUGAACCGCAUGGUUCAAUAGUGAAAGACGGUUUUGCUGUCACUUAUAGAUGGAUCCGCGCCGCAUUAGCUAGUUGGUAAGGUAACGGCUUACCAAGGCAACGAUGCGUAGCCGACCUGAGAGGGGGGUCGGCCACACUAGAGCUGAACCACGGUCCAGACUACUAAGGGAGGCAGCAGUAGGGAAUCUGCCGCAAUGGGCGGGAGUUUGACGGAACAACGCCACGUGAGUGAUGAAGACCUUCGGAUCGUAAAGCCCUGUUAUUAGGGAAGAACAAAUGUGUAAGUAACUAUGCACGUAUUGACGGUAACUAGUCAGAAAGCCACGGCUAACUACGUG